UACGUAGGGGGCAAGCAUUGUCCGGAUUUAUUGGGCGUAAAGAGCGUGUAGGCGGCUAGGUAGGUCCGUUGUGAAAACUCGAGGCUCAACCUCGAGACGUCGAUGGAAACCAUCUGGCUAGAGUCCGGAAGAGGAGAGUGGAAUUCCUGGUGUAGCGGUGAAAUGCGCAGAUAUCAGGAAGAACACCCGUGGCGAAGGCGGCUCUCUGGGACGGUACUGACGCUGAGACGCGAAAGCGUGGGGAGCGAACAGG
rnacentral:rRNA from 1 species